GGUGGAUUUAGCAGUAAACCAAGAAUAGAGAGCUUGAUUGAAGCAAGGCCAUUAAGCACGCACACACCGCCCGUCACCCUCCUCAACCAUCACACAAAGUACAUUAACAACUAAGCCACUAAACACUGAUGUAGAGGGGAUAAGUCGUAACAUGGUAAGCGUACUGGAAAGUGCGCUUGGACUAAU
rnacentral:rRNA from 1 species